rnacentral:rRNA from 1 species
GUAGGUGGCAAGCGUUGUCCGGAAUUAUUGGGCGUAAAGCGCGCGCAGGCGGUUCUUUAAGUCUGAUGUGAAAGCCCACGGGCUCAACCGUGGAGGGUCAUUGGAAACUGGAGAACUUGAGUACAGAAGAGGAAAGCGGAAUUACACGUGAAGCGGUGAAAUGCGUAGAGAUGUGGAGGAACACCAGUGGCGAAGGCGGCUUUCUGGUCUGUAACUGACGCUGAGGCGCGAAAGCGUGGGGAGCAAACAGGAUUAGAUACCCUGGUAGUCCACGCCGUAAACGAUGAGUGCUAAGUGUUAGGGGGUUUCCGCCCCUUAGUGCUGCAGCUAACGCAUUAAGCACUCCGCCUGGGGAGUACGGCCGCAAGGCUG